UUUCCUGUGGCUCAGCUAGUAGAGCAUUGCGCUAACAACGUGAAGGUCGCAGGUUCAAAUGUCAGGGAAA